UGCGGCUGGAUCACCUCCUUUCUAAGGAAACGAAUGAAGUAAGGAGUUGUAUUACUGUUUAGAUGCUAAGGUGCAUCAAAAAUUUCUGGUGGCGAUGCGUUUAGGGGACACACCCGUUCCCAUCCCGAACACGACGGUUAAGACCUAAGCGGCCGAAAGUACUAUACUGGAGACGGUAUGGGAGGAUAGGAGGCUGCCAGAUUAAAAAAAGAAAUAACGCUUUAGUAGCGAUGAGAGAAUAAAAAAGAAUUUUGUUCUCUGAUGACUACUAAACCAUAGUCAAGAAGUAAUUGUUCCUUGAAAACCGAAUACUGAAACACAUCUAAUUAUCAGAUAACGAUAAAUAGACAUCGAAAGCAAAUCCAAAAACAAUGAAUGGUUUUAUCUGUAUAAUCGCUAUGCAGGUAAAGCAAAGAGCCCAUCGAAAGAUGGACUUCAUGAGAAAUCAUGUGAGAACAAAGGUUAUUGGACCUAAUGUUCCUAUAAAGCUUAAUGAGCGAAAGCUCAGU
rnacentral:misc_RNA from 1 species